GACGAACGCUGGCGGCGUGCUUAACACAUGCAAGUCGAACGGAAAGGCCUGCUUUCCCUUGUGGAUUGCGGGUACUCGAGUGGCGAACGGGUGAGUAACACGUGAGUGAUCUGCCCCCAACUUGGGUAUAAGCCUGGGAAACUGGGUCUAAUUCCCGAUAGGACCGCAGGGUGGUGCCUGUGGUGGAAAACGAUUUUCUAGUGGUUGGGGAUGAGCUCGCGGCCUAUCAGCUUGUUGGUGGGGUAAUGGCCUACCAAGGCGGCGACGGGUAGCCGGCCUGGGAGGGUGGACGGCCACAUUGGGACGGAGAUACGGCCCAGACUCCUACGGGAGGCAGCAGUGGGGAAUAUUGCACAGUGAGCGGAAGCCUGAUGCAGCGACGCCGCGUGGGGGAUGACGGGCUUCGGGUUGUAAACUCCUUUCGACCGCGAGGAAGCCACCUGGAUGGAGGGGUGGUGACGGUAGUGGGAGAAGAAGCACCGGCUAACUACGUG
rnacentral:rRNA from 1 species